CAAAAUCCUUGAACCAAACGAUCCCCAUCCGACGAAGAUAUGAAUCCAUCUUUUGAAGUUCUGAUGAAGGAUUCAUACAUAUCGCAAGAUUAUAUGCAUAUUCCAAAAUAUUUUUACGAACACCUUCCUGAAUCACAUAGCACAACGGUUCUUCACUAUGAUGGCGAGCCUUGGUUUAUGGAAAUUAACAUGGGUAAGCAGAGAUGGUUCAAAGACGGUUGGAAAUAUUUUGUGAUGAAUAAUAACAUCAAGCGGGGUUGGUUAAUCAACUUUGAGUUGGUCGAAAUUACAGAAUUCUGUGUUAUCUUCCAAUUGCAAGUGACAGGCCGAGGAACUCUCCAAGAUCCCGUUGAAAUUAACUAGUUAUGUUUUGUCUUCCCAGUUUGUGUUGUUUUUAACUUUUGUUAGCUUUUUUUUAAUGUAAUAUGUACUUUUAUUUUCCAAUUUGGUUAUUAUGUAAUGUGUAUUUUGAUUUCGGACUCUUUUGAUUUUCCAGUUAUCAAAUUGAUAUA